GGCCUUGACAUACUAAGAACUUUCCAGAGAUGGAUUGGUGCCUUCGGGAACUUAGAUACAGGUGCUGCAUGGCUGUCGUCAGCUCGUGUCGUGAGAUGUUGGGUUAAGUCCCGCAACGAGCGCAACCCUUUUCCUUAUUUGCCAGCGGGUCAUGCCGGGAACUUUAAGGAUACUGCCAGUGACGAACUGGAGGAAGGCGGGGACGACGUCAAGUCAUCAUGGCCCUUACGGCCAGGGCUACACACGUGCUACAAUGGUCGGUACAAAGGGUUGCUACCUCGCGAGAGGAUGCUAAUCUCAAAAAGCCGAUCGUAGUCCGGAUCGCAGUCUGCAACUCGACUGCGUGAAGUCGGAAUCGCUAGUAAUCGCGGAUCAGAAUGCCGCGGUGAAUACGUUCCCGGGCCUUGUACACACCGCCCGUCACACCAUGGGAGUUUGUUGCACCAGAAGUAGGUAGUCUAACCGCAAGGAGGACGCUUACCACGGUGUGGCCGAUGACUGGGGUGAAGUCGUAACAAGGUAGGCGUAGAUGA
rnacentral:rRNA from 1 species